AUGUCAUUAUGAGGGACUUUCGUAAUAACUCCUUAAGCUGCUCCCAUGUCUCAUAUAGAGAUUCUUCAUAAAAUUGUUGAAAUGAAGUGAUUUCAUUUUGGAGCUU
rfam:Gossypium arboreum cultivar AKA8401 contig_134600_1, whole genome shotgun sequence.